UUUUUUUUUCUCGUUUUCUGAAAAGAAGAGGAGAAAAGAAGAGCUCAUUAUUUUUCACUGUUUGCGAUACUAUAACUUGUAAAUUGCUCACAUUGUCGAGCUUAACUUAAUUACUUAGACAAAUUGAUUUAAGAAGGCGCGCGAGCAACAAUAUUUACUGGCAUCUGCUUCGAGUUUCAAAGAUCAUCGCGUGAUUCCUUACGGAGCUCACGUACGCAUGUUAGCCGACAAUUUCGUAUAAUUAUUUCUUCAAUUACAAAUGCUCCUUCCCGAUCGCUUCCUGCGUCCCCGAGCGUGGCCGAUUCGGUGAAGAUAACGAUAAUGUUCUUACCAUAUACAGUUUAACCACAAAGUCAAAGAAUACGCAUCGAGUUUAGAUUGUACGUAUGUACAUAGGUAUACAUGUUUACAUACAUAUAUACAUGCCUCGCGUAUGUAACAUCGGAAACGUAUCGAUGAAAUUAUUCAAUUUGCCUUCGAAUGAUUCUUAUCUCGCGCGCCGCAUCGAACAUUACUCCGUAACGUAACAACUCGCUUUCGGCGAAUACAUUCGUAUACAUAUGCGUUUAUUACAUAACCGGAUAUGACAUUAUGUAAAAGCGAACGAGUGUCUCUUUUCGCGUGCGUUUUACGAUAGUCCACUGAGCCUCAACAUACUUUCGACAAUCAAAAGCACGUAUUUUCCCUAAGUCGAUCGAGCGUGCAUGCGAUUUGUCAGAAGACAUAGUAGAUACAUUACCUAUAUACAUAUAUUCAUAAAUACGAACAUACGAGAAAUAUUUGAAUAAAACCAUCGACAACUUAGAGGUAUAACGUUGAAAAGAUAAAGAUUUCUUUCUUAUAAGUCCGAUAAAUUCGAUCGGCAAAUUCGCGCGAGAGUCACGCGAGUAAUUAAUUCGCGAACGUAUUCGCGUGUAGGCACAAUUGUUCACCGUAACGAGCGAAAGUUGCAUAACUCAUCGAUACCGCGGUCGACGGACACUCCCCCAUUAUGAAAUUCCAGCUUAAUAGGCUUCCGGCUGAACGUGCGUGCCUGAUCGGACCCAACGGCCUAAAUACCAGCCUAUGCUGCUCUAAUUAUUAUUCCAGUGGUCGCGCUUAACUUUUUCUCAAUCGACUUUUUCAUCAACGAUCCAACUGAGAACCUGCUCAAAAUAUGCGCCUGCCACGAACGAUUCCGUAAGAGUUGACGUUUACUAAACGAUACUGACAGCUGUGCUGGUAGUUCAAGACGAUACUUCCCGCAGCUACUACUAUGCUGAUGUACCUAACAAAUAAGGGGACGCGAUGACAUUAAAGAAAAUAACAAACUCACGAGAGGAAAUAUCCGUCAUUCGUUAUCCUUUAUUUACGUAUCGCUGAAUUCAAAACAACGAAGCAACGAGAUGAGUCGUAAGACAAGAGAGUUGUUGCCGUUCGUUCGACACAUAACGGAGUUACCUAUUCUCCAUGACGAUAAUUAAUUCGAUAAAGACUCGACUUCGAAUGCCAAGGGAUUGCGGUGGUACAUAGCUAACAGUCAAUUAGGGACAACCGCAACGAAUCAAUCGACGGUCGAAGGUAGAAAUGGUAAGGGGUAAGGGAGAAGUAGAAGAAUCGAGAUCGAGAACUCGAUGUUCGUGGGGUCGAUGCUAAUUCCUCGGGUCGACAUCGUGCCCAUGCUCGCGUUCGCCCAUUGGUCCAUACCGGUGGCGGCCCCUUUUGUUCUUUUCACUCAAGAACCGACGAUAUAUGUGGAGCAACCUGGCGACGAUCGUGAUAUGCCAGCCGGCGCCCACGCUCCUGGGCAACUUUAAAAGCGUUAUACCACCUUCGCCGCUAAACCUUCUGGCCCUGACCUGCCUUGAUCUCUCCCCUACCUUCUCGUAAAGCUACGCCCUCUUAUAUUUUCCGCCUUACCGCUUACCGCCCUUCACGUUCUCCAUCAUAACUCUAUAAUCUAUUAUAUAUGAUAUAUGGUCGAACGAGCGCUACUAUUUGGAGAAUCCAUUCUACGUUAGAGCACGACUAUGAUUCUGUAUAACGAGCACGUGCAAAAGGUGGUACGAUUUAAAUAAGGGAGGAGCAUCGUUUUGAUCCUCGAUGAUCAAGUUGUAUGACAUGUAACGAGACGCAGGUACAUAGGUACGUAUGUAUAUAAACGUAAGAUAGACCUGCCCAUAUUGCGCAUUACGCCCGAACUCCCACGCUCGAAAAGAUUGCUAAGCAUCGAUUCGACGAAUGGCGUUUCAUUCACGGUAAGGCCCACCUCCGCUUUCAGCGACGACAGUCGUAGUACGUUGCAACAGGCAAGAAAAGAAGGCCCGAUGGCUGACGAUUGCAUUCGCCAUCCACUGCAAUCUCUCUCCCACUACGAUCAACCUGUCCUCCUACUCUAAUGCCGCUUGUUGGGCCACCUCUUUCCGGGAAGAAACAUCAUCGUCGACCAUUGGAUGCUACGAAAAUCGAGCUACCGAUUGGCCAACAGCCGGUCGUACCUCGUUUAGAAAUCUUGUGACUUUGCGCGAAGAACGCAAGAUUUUAUCUUACGCGAUACGUCCCGAAUGCAGAUUGACUCGGUCUCGUUGUGAAUUCAAAUACGACAGUACAUUUUAUCCUAGGUAUAAAGAACACACACGUUACGUAAGUUAUGUAAAUUUCUCUUCUUCAUUUGAAUGUAAUUGGACGAUUUGAUUGCGUAUUACUAGAUAUUAUAACGUGUACGAAUCUACGAUUAAAUUUUUUCAUCUUGGAAAUAUACCUCACGUUAAAUUGUUUGGAUUUAAAAUCGAAGACAGCAAUAUAUAAUUAUGUCAGGUUGAUAGACCGUUGAAAUUUAUAAUAUCUACGAGUAGAUGGAACUUUAAUGGGGUCUUUUCGUGUUCGUUGAACAUUAGUUCUUGUCAAUUAAACUAACGUUAGAUAAAGCAAUUGACCCCGACGAUCAGAGGGCUUACGAAAAUACUAUAAUCAACGUUGCAAUCCAUUUGUCUAUUCUAGAAAACGCAGAAGUAACCUUUUGUUUGAUCGUUAUUAUGAUACAUUUUGUAAAAUCGAAAGGAGGAAAGAUAUCUGUGCGUGCGAGCACGGCACAUGCACGGUAUAUGCACGAAGGUGUCGCUUUUCAUUGCGGUCAAGCUAAAGUUAUUCGAGGUACGAGGAAGUAUUGAAGUCGAAGUCGACAAGCAGGGAGAUCGAUAGGAACGAACAGGAUUGAUGAGGAGAAAGGUGGUGAGCCGUUGAGCCAAGAGCAGCGUGCCGGUGAACGAGGAACGUCCGCGAAAAAGAACAGGAAUAGGAAUGUCGGUUAAUUUGUAACCACGUUUAUCUAGCACGAUACCAGUGCGUACAUUUUUCUUUCUUGCACUCCAUAAGCAGUCGCACAUACAUACAUAGGCACGCGCGCGAGAAAGAGAGAAAGAAAGAGAGAGAGAGAGAGAGAGAAAGAGAGAAUAAUAAAGAACGAUUACGCGCGAAACGACUUCGAUCAUAUGUAGGUGGUAACUCGAAAAGUUCCUCGUAAUAUCAUUGACUGUGUUCUAAUCGCGAAGCAUUUGUAGUGGAAACAAAAUUAUUACCGAUAAACAAAUUUUCAAUCGAAAAGAAAAAUUAAGAGAUAUAAGAAGUAUACGAUAACGAAAGACAAUAAAACGUUUCUCAGAACGUAACCGGUAUUUUUUAAAAACGAUAAAAUAUUUUCCGGUUUUACCGAUCUCAUUCUUAAAAACCGGUGAGAGAUCGGUUAAGCUAGAUUCUUCUUGCGUGUACGAAAUAGCGCCUUUUUAUGGCACGUUUCUUUAGACAGCAGCAAUACUUCUAGUUCCUAUUUGAGCAGAGCUUAAGAUAGAUUGUACCGGUCGCCGUCUCUGGCGCCAGCACCGUUCGAUUUCCCUCUUAAAGAGCACUUUUUCGUUGAACUGCUUACGUUGACGUACCACUCUCGUGUACGACGGGUAAACGUGAAACGGGCUGUACGCGAUCGCGACACCGGCGAAAGCUGCAACAAACUUCUACUAUACCGGUAUUCAAAGUACCGGUAUAUACAACCUAUGUUUCAGCCGUGACAGGUAUUUACUACUAGCCACGGAAAUACGUUACGUUCGUUCGCGUACUCCACGCGUAUUAGAACCGUUUUUCCAGAAAUUCAAAGAAUGCAUGAAAUCUUCGGUAUGAAACUAACCUCUAAGAAUAGAGAAGGUUCAUUAUAUAAGUAGUGACUUCCUGUAAUCACAUUCCACGCAUUCUGAAAAGUAUCAUUAUCCGACACCUUAAGUAGAAUCUCCUACGUAAGAAUAUCAUUGACUAUGAUUUAAUUUUCUUUGAAAAUGACGAUGAUACGCGUCUAAUUAGGAAGUCCGAAGAAUAACGAAUAUUGUAUUUCAGUUGAGUCUAUAUUUUAUGAAUGAUUAACUUUAUAUCUUCCUGGAAUCUUUGAUGAGUAGAAGAGACAAUGAACGUCUGCUAAAGUAUAGCUAAGUCGACAUUACCUACUUGAAACGAUCCAAGUUCCAAGUACUUUGGAAUUUACUAAAGUAGAUACAGUAGCAAUGUGUUCCAGAAAUGGAAACAAAAUGGAUAGGAAUUGUAUACCCCGAGAUCAAGAAGACUCCCACCUUCGCAUAAGGAGACGACUCCUCUAGGUCUUUCCUUCCUCUAGGACCACAAAACGCGAAACGAAGAAGGAUAAGAAUGGGGUGUGGAGAGAAGAAGAGACGCGUAAGGAAAGCGAAUUUACGAGAUGAUUGUCCGGUUACCCUAUUCAUUCGGUACGGAAUCUCUAAGAGGAUCUCUAUUGUAGAUUAUUGCACCAUUGUCCAUUGUCGCCCCUAAACCCUUUCUUCUAACUUACUCGCUUCGGUCUUUCGUCGACAGCAAAGUAAAAAAAAAAAAAAAGAAAAGAACUUGUCAAGGACGAGGAGAAUCCGUGAUAACAAUUCGAUUAAACGAAAAAAGCUUUUAAGAUGAUUUCUUCUUUCAUACGUUCACUACACAAGAAAUCCUUUUUAAAAUAGAAAACCACACAGUUUUGACACGAUUUGCCAAGUACUUCCGGCGACAUUAACUUUCAAAUUGCGAGCGAUUCGAGGUAGCUUUACACUUGACACUUCUCUCAAGAUAUUCCUGUCGGACGUUCACUCACGCAAGAUGUAUCAAAGAAAAUUAUGGUCCAGCGUCAAGACGUCUACAUUUGCCAAGAGAAAUGUCAGAGGGAAACUUCAUGCACGAAGUGUCAAGUCCAAGCCCGGUUUGGACAAAGAAAAUUACCGCGACUCGAGUGUCAGGACCGUUUAUAUAAACUAAGAAAUGUCAGAGUGAAGAGACACGUAAGAAACUUUGAUAAAGCAUUUGGAAUGUAACCGAAACAUCUUUCGAUGCAAAAGACGGACAACAGUAAGCGAGCAGUAUAAUCCUGCGUACUUCAUUCUCUAUACACGGAUAUAUAUCCAUGGUAAUUCGAGAAACAUAACUCAAGACCCAGUGGAAAGGUGCAUCACGACCACCGGCGUACCAAGUCGGCUUCUCUUUGCUACUUUAGUUGUCCGUACCCCUUUCUCUUUAUGUUCGUCGCGCACGAAGAUCGUCCUUUUCUUCACCUCUUUCACCAAAGAGAAUUCAACCGAAUGUGAUGACUUUUCACAACUGAGUAUAUACCAUCUUCUAGGUAUGCAAGGUAGGCUCACUCGGGUCCAUUCAAACGUUACAAAUCAAUUUCGAUAAAAAUGAGAUGGAAAUUAUUCAGAAUACGAUUGAUGAAACAGCUAUUUGUGCUUCGAAGAUAUUUCAAUUCGUAAAUAUUUAUUUUAAAUAAUUAUCAUAUGAGUAUAUAAAAUUUUCUAAAGACAUUUGAACAUCUUUUAUAAGCGUAAUGAAGUCUUAAUAUAUUCGUAUUCUAAGAAAUAACAUAUAAUAUAUAAUUUAUGUUGCGACAAAUUUACAAGAUCCGAUGACUAAUGCAAAAGAUAAAAUUAUCUGUCAAUAAUUUUUCUAAUGUUUCAGCAUAAGAAAACACGUGUUAUAUUACGAUAUACCUAAUGUGAUAUUACGUGCCUACCCACGUAUGCUAAUAACGGUGUUUCUUUAAUUAAGCAUAAAACAAGUGAAAAAUAAUUAUAGGAAAUGAAAUCCUCUGACAAAUGCAAAACUCUUUCAUUUACGUUUAUCUAAGUAGCGUUCUAACACCAUUUUUUAAAAUGCCUCAAUUAAUAGAAUUGUCGCCUAAAAUAAAUUACCAAACGAUUUCUACCUGCUAAGUUUCACAUAUUUACAUAAAGUCUAGAUAAGAGCUGCAAAUUAUAGCCUCAUUAUAUGGGCAUAAUAAGGGACACCCUCUUCACAAAAACUAAUGAGAAAGUCGCUUACCUUACGAUAUAAUUACACGUAAAUUAUUUUUGUUAUAAUAUUGAAAUUAAAAUUCAUUGUACACAUAUAAAUAGAUCGACAUUAACAUAUAGCCAUAUAUUUGUAUUUAAAUGAAAUUAAAGCGAUUUUAUUAGCAACUGCUUAUCGAAUGGAAAUGUAAUAUGUAUGUAAAUUUGAACAAAAUGAAAGAUAGUAAUGUCGCAUCAGAUAAAUAGAAUAAUGAAUAUAUAUUCGCAAUAACAUAUGAACAAAAAUUUGUGUAUGUCUGUGUGUAUAUAAAAAGAAACUUACCUUAUAGUACCGCUCUGCUUAUGCUUGCCGAUGAAAAAAGUCAUUAUUCCAUCGGGUAUCUGCUUUGCCCACGGUGGUUUUAUCCAGAUCAAACUUUUGAAGUGACCGGCAUAUACUGCUGGCAUAAUCCAAUUUUCGAUACUAAUAUCCCUGUGAUAAUGAAACAAAAGUACAUUUUCAUUUUAUUCAUUGAUUUAUAUAACAUCUAUACAUAUAUUCUCUAUACAUUAAUAAUCAUAAUAAAAUGAGUCUUAUUAAUUUCAAUAUUUCAUUACUGUUUGUAAAAUUAUUCUAAUAAUUCGAACAUUUUCAUCGAUGUUUUAUUAGCGCGAAGAAACUAUGUGAAAUUCCUUUUCUAUGCACGAUGCAAAAACAUACGAAACGUGCUAAUUUUUGUUGAUAUUACACUGACAACCGUUAAAUGCCAGUUUUGGAAUGCACUUCAAAUUAUUUGCAUCUUUGAAUUCAUCGUAUAAUAUUUGUAUUAUAUAUAGAUAUGUAACUACUGUAUAUUAAAGAAAAAUACAAUUUAUUAACAUGUAAUGUGUCUAACGUGAAAAAUUGUCGAAAGUAUCGUCGUACAUACUAUUAAGUUUUAAUUGAAAAUAUCAUCGCUAGAUUAUCUAAAAGUUAUACUAUAAUACUUCAAAUAUUAAAUAACUUUAUAAUAUUAUCAUAAUUAUAAUGCUAAUAAUUAUUUUAUAUAAUAAAUAUUUAAUGUUAAUUAAUGAUAACUAUAAUCUAAUUAUCAUUAAAAUUAAUAUGCAUACCCAAAUAAUUCAUCCUUAUUCCAUACAACAUCAGCUGACAUACACCUUGGUAUAAGCAUAUCUGGAUGAGAAUCAAGAUGAAUAAACGUAUUUCCUUCAAAUGGAAGAUGUUUUGAACCCAAACAUCG